GCAUAUCAAUAAGCGGAGGAAAAGAAACCAACAGGGAUUGCCCUAGUAACGGCGAGUGAAGCGGCAACAGCUCGAAUUUGAAAUCUGGCCUCGGCCCGAGUUGUAAUCUGUAGAGGAUGCUUUUGGCGCGGUGCCUUCCGAGUGCCCUGGAACGGGACGCCACAGAGGGUGAGAGCCCCGUAUGGUCGGACACCAAGCCUGUGUAAAGCUCCUUCGACGAGUCGGGUAGCUUGGGAAUGCUGCUCUAAGUGGGAGGUAAACUUCUUCUAAAGCUAAAUACUGGCCAGAGACCGAUAGCGCACAAGUAGAGUGAUCGAAAGAUGAAAAGCACUUUGAAAAGAGGGUCAAAUAGUACGUGAAAUUGUUGAAAGGGAAGCGCUCAUGACCAGACUUGCGCCGGGCUGAUCAUCCAGUGGUUUCCACUGGUGCACUCUGCCCGGCUCAGGCCAGCGUCGGCUGUCGGGGGGGGACAAAAGCACUGGGAAAGUAGCUCUCUCCGGGGAGUGUUAUAGCCCUAUGCAGAAUACCCCCGCGGCGGCCGAGGUCCGCGCUCUGCAAGGACGCUGGCGUAAUGGUCAUCAGCGACCCGUCUUGAAACACGGACCAAGGAGUCGAGGUUUUGCGCGAGUGUUCGGGUGCAAAGCCCCAGCGCGUAAUUAAAGUGAACGUAGGUGAGAGCUUCGGCGCAUCAUCGACCGAUCCUGAUGUAUUCGGAUGGAUUUGAGUAGGAGCGUAAAGCCUCGGACCCGAAAGAUGGUGAACUAUGCCUGUAUAGGGUGAAGCCAGAGGAAACUCUGGUGGAGGCUCGCAGCGGUUCUGACGUGCAAAUCGAUCGUCAAAUAUGGGCAUGGGGGGCGAAAGACUAAUCGAACUAUCUAGUAGCUGGUUACUGCCGAA
rnacentral:rRNA from 1 species